rnacentral:rRNA from 1 species
UACGUAGGGUGCGAGCGUUAAUCGGAAUUACUGGGCGUAAAGCGUGCGCAGGCGGUUUUGUAAGUUUGUCGUGAAAGCCCCGGGCUCAACCUGGGAAUUGCGAUGAAGACUGCAAGGCUUGAAUCUGGCAGAGGGGGGUAGAAUUCCACGUGUAGCAGUGAAAUGCGUAGAGAUGAUGGAGGAACACCGAUGGCGAAGGCAGCCCCCUGGGUCAAGAUUGACGCUCAUGCACGAAAGCGUGGGGAGCAAACAGG